GGGGGUGUAGCUCAGUGGUAGAGCGCUUGCCUAGCAUGCGGGAGGCACUGGGUUCCAUCCCCA
rnacentral:tRNA from 1 species